rnacentral:rRNA from 1 species
GACAGAGGGUGCAAACGUUGUUCGGAUUUACUGGGCGUAAAGCGCGUGUAGGCGGUCGCAUAAGUCGGAUGUGAAAGUCCUCGGCUCAACCGGGGAAGUGCACCCGAAACUGUGUGACUGGAGUCCCGGAGAGGAUAGUGGAAUUCUCGGUGUAGAGGUGAAAUUCGUAGAUAUCGAGAGGAACACCGGUGGCGAAGGCGGCUAUCUGGACGGUGACUGACGCUGAGACGCGAAAGCGUGGGGAGCAAAC